GCUCAGUGAAGGGAUGCAAAGCUGGGAGGCGCCAGGCAGGAGAAACACUCUCCCUGCUCUGCAUCCCUGCUGCUGCUGCGCCACCCUAUCCCCCCUGCAGCUGCCGGAUGUUGUGCCUGUCAUACUUUAUGACAGGCAGCGGCGCCGGCAGCAUGAAAAGCCUUCUCCCCCUCACCUAUGACAACGGUUGUCCCGAAAAGGUUGGCAGAGCUACAUGGGAUGGAGGGGCGAAGCUACAAGGGAUGGAGGAGAUGGAGGGGGCAGAGCUACGCGGAAACAGGCUGCUGUACAGAGGGAGAGUAAACAUUGGUGCCAGCCAGAUUUAGGAACCGCAGCAAAGGCCGCCGACCACUGCCAUCUCCUCCGUUGCACCACUGCCAUCCUCUGCCUCCUCCUCUGCUGCACUGCCGCCGCCCUCAGCCUUCUCUACUGCUCUGCCACCGCCCUCGGCCUCCUCUGCACCUCAGUUGACUCCCGCAGCCGCUUCCUCCGCAUCAUCUCCGACGUCCACAGCCUACUCCGUCCCAUGCCAACCACAGCCUCCUCAUCCACCGCACUGCAGACCACAACCUCCUCCGCACUGCUGCUGCUCAAUAGGACUCGGGAACUUUAUAUCAAACCAUAAAAAAUGGAAUAGAGGAGAAAAUGAUAGACAAGAAGAUACAGAAGAAGAAAAACGUACAAACGUUAGACAUUUCUCUCCAAUUGAAAACAUCAAUUAUCUACAGUAUUUAAGCAUCAACCACCUUUGCUUAUCAAUAUUUCCAGUGCUUUAUAAGAAAUAAACAUAAUAAAAGUGUAUCCCACAUUGUGAGGUUUCUGUCUCCACUAUAUUGUUUUGAUAUAUCAUUUCA